rnacentral:rRNA from 1 species
UACAGAGGUCUCAAGCGUUGUUCGGAUUCAUUGGGCGUAAAGGGUGCGUAGGCGGUAGUGCAAGUCAGGUGUGAAAUCCCGGAGCUCAACUCCGGAACUGCACUUGAUACUGCUUUACUAGAGUACUGGAGAGGAGACUGGAAUUUACGGUGUAGCAGUGAAAUGCGUAGAUAUCGUAAGGAAGACCAGUGGCGAAGGCGAGUCUCUGGACAGUUACUGACGCUGAGGCACGAAGGCCAGGGGAGCAAACGGG